rnacentral:rRNA from 1 species
CAGUAGCCGCGGUAAUACGUAGGGUGCGAGCGUUAAUCGGAAUUACUGGGCGUAAAGCGUGCGCAGGCGGUUAUGUAAGACAGGUGUGAAAUCCCCGGGCUUAACCUGGGAACUGCGCUUGUGACUGCACAGCUAGAGUAUGGCAGAGGGGGGUGGAAUUCCACGUGUAGCAGUGAAAUGCGUAGAGAUGUGGAGGAACACCGAUGGCGAAGGCAGCCCCCUGGGCCAAUACUGACGCUCAUGCACGAAAGCGUGGGGAGCAAACAGGAUUAGAUACCCCGGUAGUCCCUGUCUCUUAUAC